AAUUGAAGCGUGGAGUGCAGGGAAGCGUUUGGGUGGCUAGAAGUCAUCUUUACAGAAUGCUGUGAAGGACAAAACCAGAAGUAUUUAUUUCCUAAAGAAAACUGUGUUAAGCAUCUUCUAAAAGAAAUCCUGCAAUGAGCUAGUGUAACAAAGCACAGGUAUCUCCUACUUCUGUCUCCCGCAUACAGGGUGGGCCUUGUGUGUGCUCUCACCGCAACAGAGACCACUCCAGAAGGGCAGCUCCAGCACAGAUGCCCUGGGAAAACCCAGUUCCCUGCCACCCCAGUACCUACACAUUCCCCAUCUCCUGAAACCUUCUCUGUGUCAGGUGCUCAGUUCUACCCAUUACUGGACUCGAUUCUGUUGCUGUGAAACAUCUGGGAGGAGCUGAGCAGGAGGAAAGAUGGGCUGCAACCUAACCUGGAGCUAGUAAGGGGAAGGGAGGAAAGCGGGUUCUCAGAGGGAGACGUUCUUAGGAGGUUAGGAGUUUCUAACUCCGAGGGUUAGAAACAUCAACCAAAUAAGUAACAUCUCCAGAAACCCCUGUCCUGGGUAAAAGGUGUAAUUAUCCAUCUCUCUCUGUUCCAGCCAUCUUAGCUCACCUUUGUUUUGGGAAAACAGUUUGGGCUUGAUCCUAACAGCUGACUAUCCAACACCACUGAAAAGCCCCGCUAGGAUCCUGCAGCAAGCAAGCAGGAGUUACUACUUCUGGCUGAACAGGUUGCUUGAAAAUUCAGGUUUUACAGUUGCAAAGUUUUACAAACAAUUUUACUGAUGCAGUGUUUGCAUAAUACAGUAAGUGUAAGUAAACAAAUACUUUUCCAUAAGUAAAACAUGAUUAACAUCAUUAGAGCUUAUGUACUGGGAUAGAUUGCACCUGAUUGCUGUAGGCAAGAUUCUUGCAAGCAAGAACUCCUCAUCGCUUGUAAACACGUGUUUUGGUACUCAGGUAUGCAUCUCCAGCCAAAACAGAAACUGUUAAGUUGUCUUGGAAGCUCUCAGUAAGAAAAAGUAAGCAGACCCCAUUCUAAUCAAUCAAACUACUGCCUUUUAAAAAGAUCAGAAUGCUAUCAGUCGCCUCAUAUUAAAUAAAUUUGAAACAAUCACCUUAAUUAGCCUUCAUUUCCAUAAUUACUGAUCUCAGAGAAUAGUUUUG